CUGUCUCUAUUUAAAUAUUAAUUUAAUUUAAUUUUUAAGUUAAAAAGCUUAAAUUUUUUUAAAGGACGAGAAGACCCUAUAGAGUUUUACAAAAAAAUUUAUUAAUAAAUUUUAUUUUUUUUGUUAAUAAUUUUUUUUGUUUUAUUGGGGCGAUAAUAAAAUUUAAUUAACUUUUUAAUAUAAAUAAACAUUAAUUAGUGAAUUUUUGAUCCUAUUAUUUAGAUUAUUAGAAUAAAUUACCUUAGGGA
rnacentral:rRNA from 1 species